GGUCAACGCCACUGUGUUCUUUUGACAUCAUUGUUGAUGGUAACUCCUUUGGCCCAUGCAGCUCCUUCGAGCUGUUUGCCGACAAAGUUCCAAAAACAGUGGAAAACUUUCGUGCACUGAGCACUGGAGGAAAAGGAUUUGGUUAUAAGGGUUCCUGCUUUCACAGAAUUAUUCCAGGGUUUAUUUUAUCUGCCAGAGUGCUGACUUCACACACCAUAAUAAUGCCAGUCCAUCUACCAGGAGAAAUUUGAUGAUGAGAACUUCAUCCUGAAGCACACAGGUCCUGGCAUCUUGUCCAUGGCAAAUGCUGGCCCGACACAAAUGGUUCCCAGUUUUUCACCUGUGUGGCCAAGACUGAGUGGCUGGAUGGCAAGCACAAGGUCUUUGGCAAAGUGAGAAGAGGGAGUGAAUAUCAUGGAAGCCAUGGAGUGCUCUGGGUCCGGGAAUGGUGAGACUGGCAAGAAGAUCACCACUGCCAACUGCGGACAACUC
rnacentral:lncRNA from 1 species